CAGAGAUGGAUUGGUGCCUUCGGGAACUGUGAGACAGGUGCUGCAUGGCUGUCGUCAGCUCGUGUUGUGAAAUGUUGGGUUAAGUCCCGCAACGAGCGCAACCCUUAUCCUUUGUUGCCAGCGGUCCGGCCGGGAACUCAAAGGAGACUGCCAGUGAUAAACUGGAGGAAGGUGGGGAUGACGUCAAGUCAUCAUGGCCCUUACGACCAGGGCUACACACGUGCUACAAUGGCGCAUACGAAGAGAAGCGACCUCGCGAGAGCAAGCGGACCUCAUAAAGUGCGUCGUAGUCCGGAUUGGAGUCUGCAACUCGACUCCAUGAAGUCGGAAUCGCUAGUAAUCGUGGAUCAGAAUGCCACGGUGAAUACGUUCCCGGGCCUUGUACACACCGCCCGUCACACCAUGGGAGUGGGUUGCAAAAGAAGUAGGUAGCUUAACCUUCGGGAGGGCGCUUACCACUUUGUGAUUCAUGACUGGGGUGAAGUCGUAACAAGGUAACCGUAGGGGAAC
rnacentral:rRNA from 1 species